rnacentral:rRNA from 1 species
AGAGUUUGAUCCUGGCUCAAAACGAACGCUGGCGGCGCGUCUUAAGCAUGCAAGUCGAGCGGCAAGCUAUGUGUUUACACGUAGCCUAGAGCGGCGGACUGGUGAGUAACACGUGGGUGACCUACCUAAAAGUUGGGAAUAGCCGUUAGAAAUAGCGGGUAAUACCGAAUGUGCUUACAGGAAGAAAGUCUUGUAAGGAAAGGAGCUACGGCUUCGCUUUUAGAUGGGCCCGCGCCCCAUUAGCUAGUUGGUGGAGUAAAAGCCUACCAAGGCGAUGAUGGGUAGCCGGCCUGAGAGGGUGAACGGCCACACUGGGACUGAGAUACGGCCCAGACUCCUACGGGAGGCAGCAGCUAAGAAUAUUCCGCAAUGGACGAAAGUCUGACGGAGCGACGCCGCGUGGAUGAUGAAGGCCGGAAGGUUGUAAAAUCCUUUUGUCAACGAAGAAUAAGCGGAGGAGGGAAUGUCUUCGUGAUGACGUUAGUUGACGAAUAAGCCCCGGCUAAUUACGUGCCAGCAGCCGCGGUAACACGUAAGGGGCGAGCGUUGUUCGGAAUUAUUGGGCGUAAAGGGCGCGUAGGCGGUUUUGCCAGCCUGAUGUGAAAGCCUGGGGCUUAACCCUGGAAUUGCAUUGGGAACUGCAAGACUUGAAUCAUGGAAGGGAAAUCAGAAUUCCAGGUGUAGGGGUGAAAUCUGUAGAUAUCUGGAAGAAUACCGGUGGCGAAGGCGGAUUUCUGGCCAAUGAUUGACGCUGAGGCGCGAAAGUGCGGGGAGCAAACAGGAUUAGAUACCCUGGUAGUCCGCACUAUAAACGAUGAAUACUAGGUGUCAGUGAGCGAUCAUUGGUCCGGGCGCAAACGCAAUAAGUAUUCCGCCUGGGGAGUACGGUCGCAAGACUAAAACUCAAAGGAAUUGACGGGGACCCGCACAAGCAGCGGAGCAUGUUGUUUAAUUCGAGGCAACGCGAAGAACCUUACCAAAUCUUAACAUACCACUGACCUACACCGUAAAGGUGUACUCUGCUUCGGCAGCAGUGGAUACAGGUGGUGCAUGGUUGUCGUCAGCUCGUGUCGUGAGAUGUUGGGUUAAGUCCCGUAACGAGCGCAACCCCUAUUUUUAGUUGCCAUCAGGUAGUGCUGGGCACUCUAAAGAGACUGCCAGAGAUAAUCUGGAGGAAGGUGGGGAUGAUGUCAAAUCAUCAUGCCCUUUAUGAUUUGGGCUACAAACGUGCUACAAUGGUCGGUACAACAGGUUGCCAAGCCGCAAGGUGGAGCUAAUCCCAAAAACCGAUCUCAGUUCGGAUUGGGGGCUGCAACUCGCCCCCAUGAAGUUGGAGUUGCUAGUAAUCGCGAAUCAGCAUGUCGCGGUGAAUGCGUUCCCGGGUCUUGCACAAAGCGCCCGUCA